rnacentral:rRNA from 1 species
UACGUAGGGCGCAAGCGUUAUCCGGAAUUAUUGGGCGUAAAGAGCUCGUAGGCGGUCUGUCGCGUCUGCUGUGAAAUCCCGAGGCUCAACCUCGGGCUUGCAGUGGGUACGGGCAGGCUAGAGUGCGGUAGGGGAGAAUGGAACUCCUGGUGUAGCGGUGGAAUGCGCAGAUAUCAGGAAGAACACCGAUGGCGAAGGCAGUUCUCUGGGCCGUAACUGACGCUGAGGAGCGAAAGCGUGGGGAGCGAACAGG